AUACGUAGGGAGCGAGCGUUGUCCGGAAUUACUGGGCGUAAAGAGCUCGUAGGUGGUUUGUCGCGUCGUCUGUGAAAUUCCGGGGCUUAACUCCGGGCGUGCAGGCGAUACGGGCAUAACUUGAGUACUGUAGGGGAGACUGGAAUUCCUGGUGUAGCGGUGAAAUGCGCAGAUAUCAGGAGGAACACCGGUGGCGAAGGCGGGUCUCUGGGCAGUAACUGACGCUGAGGAGCGAAAGCAUGGGUAGCGAACAGGAUUAGAUACCCUGGUAGUCCAUGCCGUAAACGGUGGGCGCUAGGUGUAGGGGUCUUCCACGACUUCCGUGCCGUAGCUAACGCAUUAAGCGCCCCGCCUGGGGAGUACGGCCGCAAGGCUAAAACUCAAAUGAAUUGACGGGG
rnacentral:rRNA from 1 species